UCUUCUUUUUUUUUCUCCCUUUUUUCCUUUUUUUUUUUUUUUUAAUUUUCUUGAGUUUUUUUUUCUUGAAGGGUUUUAGGAAUUUGUAAUACAAAUCCUUAAACCCUUUCCCCCUUUUGAGCUCCGGUGAACCUCACCGGGAAAUACGCCGGUUUCCGACGAUGUUCCGAUCAGCUUUAAUUCUGCGAUCAACACGACGGCUCCUAAACAGACACCACCCUAUCACCGCCGUAAAUUCUCCAAUUCCCGUCAUAACGACGUUAACUCACCGGAAAUUAGUCGCCCCGGUCAAUACUUAUACCAGCAAUUUUGUUAAUGCUUUUUCUUCCGCUACAGUACUAUAUUACACUUCGAGCUCAAUUAGCUCAAAUUCAACUGAAAAUGAUGCUACUGUUGAGUUGUUGGAAGGAGAGCGAGUGCCGCCGCGGUUAACUGAUGGAAUGAAUGAUGCAUAUUUAGCAAUUGAGUUAGCAUUGGAUAGUGUAGUGAAGAUAUUUACAGUUUCUAGUAGUCCUAAUUACUUCCUUCCUUGGCAAAACAAGUCUCAGCGUGAAUCUACUGGCUCCGGUUUUGUUAUUCGGGGAAAGAGAAUCCUGACAAAUGCUCAUGUUGUGGCUGAUCAUACAUUUGUGCUUGUAAGAAAGCAUGGUUCUCCAACCAAGUAUAGAGCAACAGUUCAGGCCGUUGGUCAUGAAUGCGACUUGGCUAUUCUGGUGGUAGAAAGUGAAGAAUUCUGGGAGGGCAUGAAUUCUUUGGAGCUUGGUGAUGUUCCAUUUCUCCAAGAAGCUGUGGCUGUUGUUGGUUAUCCUCAAGGGGGAGACAAUAUAUCUGUCACAAAAGGUGUUGUCUCAAGGGUUGAACCGACACAAUAUGUACAUGGUGCUAGUCAACUAUUGGCAAUACAAAUUGAUGCGGCUAUAAAUCCAGGGAAUAGCGGAGGACCAGCAAUCAUGGGUGACAAAGUUGCUGGAGUUGCUUUCCAAAACCUUUCGGGUGCAGAAAAUAUUGGCUACAUUAUUCCAGUUCCUGUGAUAAAGCAUUUUAUAGCUGGCGUAGAAGAACGUGGUGAAUACGUCGGGUUUUGCUCUCUGGGAUUGUCAUGCCAACCUACUGAAAAUGCACAAAUUCGAGAAUACUUCCAAAUGCAGUCCAAAUUGACAGGUGUACUCAUUAGCCGAAUCAACCCACUUUCUGAUGCUUCUAGAGUAUUAAAGAAAGAUGAUAUAGUCCUCUCAUUUGAUGGUGUACCCAUAGCAAAUGAUGGAACAGUUCCUUUCCGUAACAGAGAGAGAAUCACAUUUGACCAUCUCGUAUCUAUGAAGAAACCAAAUGAAACUGCUGAACUUAAAGUCUUGAGGAAUGGUGAAGUUCAUGAUUUCAAGAUCACGCUUCAUCCUUUGCAGCCACUUGUUCCAGUUCAUCAAUUUGACAAGCUUCCGAGUUAUUUCAUUUUUGCUGGUCUCGUCUUUAUUCCAUUAACUCAACCAUUCCUUCAUGAGUAUGGAGAAGAAUGGUACAACACCUCACCCCGUCGGUUGUGUGAACGAGCACUUCGGGAACUACCUAAGAAACCUGGCGAACAAUUAAUCAUCCUUUCACAGGUGUUGAUGGAUGAUAUCAAUGCUGGUUAUGAGCGCCUUGCCGAGUUACAGGUAAAGAAGGUUAAUGGUGUUGAAGUUUUGAAUCUGAAACAUUUACGUCAACUUGUGGAAGAUGGUAACCAAAAGAACGUAAGAUUUGAUUUGGAUGAUGAGAGGGUGAUUGUUUUGAACUAUGAAUCAGCAAGAAUAGCCACAUCGCGUAUACUGAAACGCCAUAGAAUACCUCAUGCCAUGUCCAGCGACCUUACCGAUGAUCAAAAUGCCGCUGAACCGCAGUUGGCUUGCUCAACGUCUCUAUAAAGGCGUCCUUUGCUAUUAUAGAGGAUGAUUGUUGUAGAAUCGCGUAUACUGAAACGCCAUAGAAUACCUCAUGCCAUGCCUAGCAACCUUACCGAUGAUCAAAAUGCUGCUGAACUUGAGUUGGCUUGCUCAACGUCUCUAUAAAAGCGUGCUUUGCUAUAACAGAGGAUGAUUGUUGUAGAGAGUCAUAUGUGACGCCCCAAAGUUUUGGGGCCUAUCACCCGCCAGGAUUGUGCGUGCCAACUAGGCCGCAACCUUGUCAGCUAUGCAGGCGGCAUGUGCUGAGGGAAUAUGCUGAAGUCGAAGAUGAGGCAAAAGGGCAUAACAUGAGGCAACAAGCAUCUAUAUAUGUUGCAUGACAUGUCCUAAGUGUGCCAAGGUGAUUUGGAGAGGGCUUGGUGUGAGCCCAAGGGGCGGAUGCAUGGUGAGGAUCGUGUGCAGUGUUCGAUGUCAGUGCCGUGUCAUUUUGAGCUACAAGUGGAAUCUAAGGAUUCCGGUUUAGAGUGUUGAUAUUAAGGGUACCUUAUGUAUGCUUACCAAAUUUGGGGUUAUUUGGAGUCCGUUUGGAUAGGGGCUUGACUUGGCCAAAGUUUAGUGGCAUUGUCGUAAUUUGCUGAUUGGUCCGAAGGCCAUAACUCAUUCCAUGUGUAUGAGAAUAGGGUGAAACUUUAUGGAGGUAUGAAGGAAGUCAAGAGAAAGGAGUAGGAACAGACGACACCCAAUUUGAAGGUCGGAUAAAUGAUCUAAGCCCCAGUAUAGUUCUCGGGCAAAAUGAUGUCUAGUGGUGGACAUUGAGAUUAUUUAUUUUUAGCAUAUAUAAGGGGAGUAUACAUGGUGACAGCCUACCAGCCUCCCCCGGGCGUGUCGACAGAUGGCCACCCUAAGUGUGCUGCCUUGAAGGACAACCUCAAGGGCCUGCCUUGGCAUGUCAAAGCAAUGCGCAAGGUACUCAUAGGGGGUCGGGUGGACUAGCGUUGGGCGCCCCGACAAGGCUAGAGGUUGGCUAUAUGAAUCGACAUGCCCCGCGGUCUGUCUAAAUGAUGGAAGGACGCCUCCAAGCCGAUAGAGCAAUCGAGAUACUCUCCCCAAGAGACUCGUGAGCUAACUUGUGAGCCUGGUCAAGGUUCAGCCAAGCGAGCAAGGGUCCGUUGGCCUAGACGCGCAGUAGUGGGGCGACACUAUGCUAUGGAAGUUGGAUGCAAGUUGCGUGGGCUAUGUUUGGCAAUGCCAUAAGACAUAAGAGGGCAUGACUAAGGAAGACGCUUGAGACAAAGGCCAAGGAUUGAAGGUUACCCUACUCGGGUGAAGCAAAGGCCAAGUGCACAUGCACAAGGUGAUGUCAAGCUUGAGGAUAGGACUGUGCACGCUAUAACGAUGCCCAGGUCCAGGCGAGGGACGAGUAUGUCCGUAGCCAUCACCGGGAGCACAUAUGAAUGAGAUCCAAGGAUUAAAGGUGCGCCAUAAGAGUUGCUUAUACGUUGGCCAUGUCAGCCGACAUGUUGAUAGAGCGGCACCAAAGGGAGCAAACCUUUGAGGCGAGCUUCCCACAGGCACAGGAUCGUGCUAAAGACCUGGGAAAUGAGGAAGGCUGGCCCAUAGUUGGGGGAACCAUGGGCGUCGCAUGGACGAAAUUGUGUGCCACUGGCACAGUGAAAAAUGAGCCCGUGACACAUAACUUGUAUAGUUUUAUUGAAGAGAAAACAAGUAGUUAACCAUUUUACUUAAUUAAUUUAUUGGAAAUCUUAAAUUCA